rnacentral:rRNA from 1 species
CGGAUGCGAUCAUACCAGCACUAAAGCACCGGAUCCCAUCAGAACUCCGAAGUUAAGCGUGCUUGGGCGAGAGUAGUACUAGGAUGGGUGACCUCCUGGGAAGUCCUCGUGUUGCAUUCC